AUUGAACGCUGGCGGCAUGCUUUACACAUGCAAGUCGAACGGUAACAGGCCGCAAGGUGCUGACGAGUGGCGAACGGGUGAGUAAUGCAUCGGAACGUGCCCAGUCGGGGGGGAUAACGCAGCGAAAGCUGCGCUAAUACCGCAUACGAUCUCUGGAUGAAAGCGGGGGACCGAAAGGCCUCGCGCGAUUGGAGCGGCCGAUGUCAGAUUAGGUAGUUGGUGGGGUAAAGGCCCACCAAGCCAACGAUCUGUAGCUGGUCUGAGAGGACGACCAGCCACACUGGGACUGAGACACGGCCCAGACUCCUACGGGAGGCAGCAGUGGGGAAUUUUGGACAAUGGGCGCAAGCCUGAUCCAGCAAUGCCGCGUGCAGGAAGAAGGCCUUCGGGUUGUAAACUGCUUUUGUACGGAACGAAACGGUCCUGGUUAAUACCUGGGGUUAAUGACGGUACCGUAAGAAUAAGCACCGGCUAACUACGUGCCAGCCGCCGCGGUAACAC
rnacentral:rRNA from 1 species